rnacentral:lncRNA from 1 species
GAAGGACGGGGGGCGAGAGCUAAUAACUAGACCGGGAGGCGAGAGCGUGCGGGUGCGGAGACUCCGGGCGGGAAGAAGGACGAGCGGGAAGGAUGUCUUGACCUGAAUGCAAUGCAGUCUCACACCCGGAAGUGGAUGCUGGACCCAAAGACAG